rnacentral:misc_RNA from 1 species
AUGGAAGAACGCAGCAAAAUGCGAUACUUGGUGUGAAUUGCAGAAUCCCAUGAACCAUCGAGUUUUUGAACGCAAGUUGCGCCCGAAGCCUUUUGGCCGAGGGCACGUCUGCCUGGGCGUCACGCAUCGCGUCGCCCCCCACAAUUCUCCGUAAAAGGAACAUGUGUUUUGGGGGCGGAUAUUGGUCUCCCGUGCUCAUGGCGUGGUUGGCCGAAAUAGGAGUCCUUUCGAUGGACGCACGAACUAGUGGUGGUCGUAAAAACCCUCGUCUUUUGUUUCGUGCUGUUGCUCGCAAGGUAAACUCUUUAAAAACCCCAAUGUGUCGUCUCUUGACGACGCUUCGACCGCGACCCCAGGUCAGGCGGGACUACCCGCUGAGUUUAAGCAUAUCAAUAAGCGGAGGA